CCAGAGUCCUGGGAGAGCCAGGUUUGAAGCUGAAAGGCCUAGAACUCCAUGCCUUCGUGAUGACAGAGAACUCCAGGUCUCGGGAGCCGACAUGACCAUCGCGUGACCAUCGCCCGUGUGUAACUAAUGACCUGUGGAACUGUGCUGUGGAACCCUACUUUCCUCACCAUGGGACCUCAGUGAACCUACCUGUUCCUGUCAUCAAGGAGGGUGGGUGCUAUAGUGUAGAUGGAUAGGGGAAGCAGCAGAGGGCCCCAGGCACAGGCACUGCCUGCCAGCUAUUUGUGGUGGCCUGGGGGUGCCAUCUCCGGUUUCAAUUCAUGCCUAGUCCUUGGCCAGAUACACACUGUCUCCAUGUACCUGAUGGGAGGACUGCUGGCCCCAUUUCCGAGUUCCCACAGCCUCGGAAUCUCUCCUGAGCCAGGCACUGCCUGCCUUUCACUCCCAGAGGUUGGAUUUCCAGCUUUGCUCUUUGUAUUUCUGCGCCCGGCAGUCUUUCAGAAAUAGGUCCACGUGGGGUACACUACUCACCCGUCUUAGCUGACACAGACCAGUACUCUGCCUGCAUCUCAUUGGCCAGAUGCACAGCCUCAGCUUCCGCUUGCUCGCACGCUGCCCCCGACUGGAAGAAACGGCCCUGGCUGACCGGGUAUCUUGGCCCUCUUUACAGGGGAUGCCCUAGGGUGGCCUCCUCUCCCCACCCCUGCUUCUCGAGUCACCCCAAGCAAGUGGAUGUGGUGGGGUAUCCCAGGGCAGGGAUGCUGCCCAGAGAAGUGAGUGAAGUUCAACAGAAAGCAUGUCAGUAUCAUUCGGUGUCCCUCGAGUUGGCUGCAAACACAAUGAUUUUCUGGAAAGCCAGUCAGGGUUGGGCCUCCAGCUCCACUCUGCUUACCAGGAGAUCCUUCUUGGUUCCCACGAGGAAGAUGAAGCAGGAGCCUGCCUCAUUCUCCCUCAGCACGUCCUCCAGCCACUGCCUGGAGUGCACAGAGGGGAAACAAGAGACUUGCACGUAGCCAGGAGGAACAGGGAUGGUACCCUGACCUACACUGACUUGGCUGGGACGCUGGGGCUGGAGUCAGAGGGCCUCCGUGGGACCAGAAGGAGCUGGAAUUACAAAGGCACUGGUUUGGGAGAGGUGAAGACUCCUACUGUGAGACCUGGGGGACCCCUGUUGUUAUCUGCUAGAAAAACCUUUCCUGUCUCUUUCAUAGGGCCUGGAGAACUCUGAUGUGAAUGGCCCAGGCAAAAAGAGUGGGGAGGGACUUUGGUCCAUUAGGUGGAUUAUGGCUGGCAGAUGAUAGCCCUCUGAAAUUGGUCAUAUUGCCCACAUCUCUGCCCAAUACAGCGAGUAAAAAAAAUUCUGUCAGGGAGGACUAGCUAGAACAUUAUUAGGGACCAAUAUAAAAGGGAACGGAGGGGCCCUUGUGCAAAAUUAAGAUUUCCAAUAUGGUGGCAAUGG
rnacentral:lncRNA from 1 species